AACGAACGCUGGCGGCGUGCUUAACACAUGCAAGUCGAACGCGAAAGGGACUUCGGUCCUGAGUAAAGUGGCGCACGGGUGAGUAACGCGUAGAUAACCUGUCCUUAUGUCUGGAAUAAUACGCCGAAAGGUGUACUAAUACUGGAUAUUCUUGUUUUUCACAAGGUAUGCAAGCAAAGGUGGCCUCUGACAUAAGCUACUGCAUAAGGAGGGGUCUGCGUACCAUUAGCUAGUAGGUGGGGUAAUGGCCUACCUAGGCGACGAUGGUUAGCGGGUCUGGGAGGAUGAUCCGCCACACUGGCACUGGAACACGGGCCAGACUCCUACGGGAGGCAGCAGUGAGGAAUAUUGCGCAAUGGGGGCAACCCUGACGCAGCGACGCCGCGUGAGUGAGGAAGGCCUUCGGGUCGUAAAGCUCUGUCAAAGGGAAAGAAGUGCAUGAUGGUUAAGAGCUGUCAUGUUUGACGGUACCCUUAAAGGAAGCACCGGCUAACUCCGUGCCAGCCGCCGCCGUAACAC
rnacentral:rRNA from 1 species